UACGUAGGUGGCAAGCGUUGUCCGGAAUUAUUGGGCGUAAAGAGCGCGUAGGCGGUUCUUUAAGUCAGAUGUGAAAUCCCGAGGCUCAACUUCGGGCGUGCAUUUGAAACUGGGGGACUAGAGUGCAGGAGAGGUAAGUGGAAUUCCUAGUGUAGCGGUGAAAUGCGUAGAUAUUAGGAGGAACACCGAUGGCGAAGGCAGGUCUCUGGGCCACUACUGACGCUGAGAAGCGAAAGCAUGGGGAGCGAACAGG
rnacentral:rRNA from 1 species